UUCCGGUUGAUCCCGCCGGACCUGACUGCUAUCGGAUUGAUACUAAGCCAUGCGAGUCUUUGUAGUAAUACAAGGCAGACGGCUCAGUAACACGUAGUCAACCUACCCUAUGGACAAGAAUAAUCUCGGGAAACUGGGCAUAAUUCUUGAUAGAUCAUAAUGCCUGGAAUGGUUUAUGGUUAAAAUGAUUCGUCGCCAUAGGAUGGGACUGCGGCCUAUCAGCUUGUUGGUGAGGUAAUGGCCCACCAAGGCGAUUACAGGUACGGGCUCUGAGAGGAGAAGCCCGGAGAUGGGUACUGAGACACGGACCCAGGCCCUAUGGGGCGCAGCAGGCGAGAAAACUUUGCAAUGUGCGAAAGCACGACAAGGUUAAUCCGAGUGAUUUCUGCUAAAGAAAUCUUUUGCCAGUCAUAAAACCACUGGUGAAUAAGGGGUGGGCAAGUUCUGGUGUCAGCCGCCGCGGUAAAACCAGCACCUCAAGUGGUCAGGAUGAUUAUUGGGCCUAAAGCAUCCGUAGCCGGCUUUGUUAGUUUUCGGUUAAAUCCAUGUGCUCAACGCAUGGGCUGCCGAAAAUACUGCAUGGCUAGGGAGUGGGAGAGGUAGACGGUACUCAGUAGGAAGGGGUAAAAUCCUUUGAUCUAUUGAUGACCACCUGUGGCGAAGGCGGUCUACCAGAACACGUUCGACGGUGAGGGAUGAAAGCUGGGGGAGCAAACCGGAUUAGAUACCCGGGUAGUCCCAGCUGUAAACGAUGCAGACUCGAUGAUGCAUUGGCAUAAUAGCCAGUGCAGUGUCGCAGGGAAGCCGUUAAGUCUGCCGCCUGGGAAGUACGUACGCAAGUAUGAAACUUAAAGGAAUUGGCGGGGGAGCACCACAAGGGGUGAAGCCUGCGGUUCAAUUGGAAUCAACGCCGGA
rnacentral:rRNA from 1 species